CAGCAGCCGCGGGAAUACGAAGGGGGCUAGCGUUGCUCGGAAUGACUGGGCGUAAAGGGCGCGUAGGCGCUUCGUACAGUUGGGUGUGAAAUUCCUGGGCUUAACCUGGGGGCUGCAUUCAAUACGUGCGGGCUUGAGUGUGGAAGAGGGUUGUGGAAUUCCCAGUGUAGAGGUGAAAUUCGUAGAUAUUGGGAAGAACACCGGUGGCGAAGGCGGCAACCUGGUCCAUAACUGACGCUGAGGCGCGAAAGCGUGGGGAGCAAACAGGAUUAGAUACCCGCGUAGUCCCUGUCUCUUAUAC
rnacentral:rRNA from 1 species